CUGAUAUGUUUGUAGGAUGCAUUGUAUGAGUGUAAUACAAUGAAGCAUUAACACGUCACGUCACGUGACGUCGUAUGAGCUCAUUCAGACCACUGACACUUUAGUGAUUGAUUACAUCGCGUGAUUAAUAAGAUGUCACAGGAACGAGGAAGGGCGGAUGGGCGGAGACUCGCAAAAAAAAAAACACAUGACGCCCGUGACGUCACGCCUGCGUCACCGUCCCUGCCAGAGAGCUCCAGCUUUUUUUUUUUUUUCGUGCAACCGGAGAACAACAAGACAGCGGAGGAGGGAACAGACGCGGAAAUAUCCGAUAAAAUGACGCGUGAAUACGUCGCCUUAUGCAACUUUGUGUCGACAACCGUCCGCCCGCUAAACACGGUGUUAUGUGAACAACACGAAUAAACACGGCACGACGUCCGCUAAACACGCAGACACCUCGAACCACGGAGGAACCUGCAGAGAAUCAGGCUCAACUGAAUCAUUCGCGUAAGCUGCGCUGCUCGAGGGUCACGGCAAUGACGGACGGGGCUCAGCCAACAUUACGCACACACACGACAACGCCGUGUCAACACGACUAUUUAACACUAUGGACGUGAGGAAAAUACACACGGACACACAUCAGCAUCCGCCAUCGACUCCACAUUAGAAAACAGCGACCGCUGUGCUGGAAAAGGCUUCAUACCGGUGUGUGUGUGUGUGUGUGUGUGUGUGUGUGUGUGUGUGUGUGUGUAACAGGACGUCGAGGUGUGUCGCUAUCAAAUCCAUCCGUGGCCUUAUGAUAGGUCAUUGCCAAAGAUAGCCUCUUAAUUAGAAUUGUAAUUCUAGCUGUUCUAUUACGUCACGAUUCUCUGCAGGCUGGAAGAAAUAAUCAGCAAUGCAGAAACAACGUUUGACACCUCGAGAUCUCACACACACACACACACACACACACACACACACACACUACCGUGCAAAACGCGAAGAAAACGAGUAAAGAAUCGCUUACCUGCCUUCGCAGUGUUGUUCAAGUUGUAAACGAGCUCUCACACGGAGAAGAAACAAGUGUUUAAAGCACAGCUUUAGAUAAUCUUUACGUGAGGUAGUUAAAACACAAGCUACAAAAAUAAAAGGCUUUCUUCUCAGAAGAAGGGCUUCGUGUAAAAAAACACAAUGUUACACCGAUGUUUUUCCCCCAGAUCAAAACAUCUGCAGCUUUUCCUCCUCUCCUACUUUAUGUACACACAUAUAUAUAGAUAUGAAUAUGUUCUUGUCCGCUGCAGAUCCGUGUUUCCUUCUGUUUAUUGCUGCCUCCAGCUGAUCCUCGGAUCAGAAUGUAGGACGUACAAAACAGCUGAUUGUGAGAUCACAGUACGUUUGGUCCCGCCCCCUUUCCCCGCCCACAGCAAGUAGAGCGGCCAAUCAGAAUAUUACACAAGGCCACGAGCAGGGCCGCUAUGUAACAGGGGGGUGGCUGGAGCUGUCAACCCGCAGCCCAGAUGGAAACCGUUGUCACUUCCGCGUCCAGCUGUCCUGCUGCUCGAGGUCGCGCUGGGGGGGGGCUGACGCUGACCCUGGGGGGCUGACCCUGGGGGGGUUUGCUCGCGAUGCAUCGAGGAGAGAGGAUGACCUGCUUCAAGUGAAGUCAAUUAAAUGUCCGAGUGGGUCAGGAGAUAAAGUUAAUUGCGUCUAACGUGUUAUAAUAUUAGUUAUUAUAAUAUCAGAUAGAACAUUCUAUGUUUGUGUUCCAUGUGUAACAGAUUGCGGUUUGUUUUAAGGUGUUGAACGGCAUCUUUUUAGAGACACUUCUAUUAUCCAACGUUGAACAUUGAACGGAUCAAACAGCAGCAGCUUCCCUCUUCCGGUCACACUGCUGAUGUCACUUUAAAUUUGCAUUGGAAAAAUAACUCAAUCCCCUCCACCCUCAUCAUCACGUCCUUCUUCAUCACUCCGCCUUGGUUUUGGGGACGGGACCUCCGCGUGCCACUCAAUGCACAUCAGCCAAUCAGAGACGCUCUUUUCCGAAUGCAGCAUUUGAGCCACCAAUGAGCUGUGGGGAAGUCUUAACGCCCCCUGGCGGUCACUUUAGAGGCCGCAGUCCUAAAGAACCGUCUGCCCUCUAUCACCCCCUCUAACAGGCCUGUGGUCAUCAACAUGUAUGUAAACACGUGUUCAACUCUACAUGAAUGGUCUUAAUCUAAUUUAUCAUUUCCUUUUUUCUCUUUUAGUUCAGAUUGUUUUCAUUACCAGGUGGCUUUUGUGCUGUUGACUGUCCAACAAACCUGAUGUAUGCAUCUGCGUACAGUGUAAAUACUUCAUUACAAAAAAACAAAUAAAGACGUGUGCAUGUCCAUGCAUGUGUGUGUCCCUCCCUGCCUCGUGUUUGUAUGAAGUCUAUAGAGUUUUGUGCGCUUUAAUGGGGCUUUUUUUACUGUGAGGGCGAGUGAACAUUUUAAGUUCGGGGUUUCUGAACAUCUGCGUCCCGGAAAGAAACUUCAGAGGGCCGAGUUCCUGUAAAGUUCCCGUUUGGUCAGUAAAUCCAUGUUACUUAAGUAUACCGCUGAGGAUUCAAGCACACACUGUAUCUCCAACAG
ensembl:lncRNA